rnacentral:rRNA from 1 species
CAUAUGAAAGAACCUCAGGCAGGGGGAAGGUGGUUGUAGCUGGCCUUCAGGGGCAUGUGCACACUGUCUCUCUCUUGUUUGUUUCUUCAUUUUCUCCACUUGUGCACUGCUUGUAGGCAGCCUGGCAUUGUUCAGGUUGUCUAUGAUUUCUUACAUACAUGAAACAAAUGAAGUACAGAAUGUAAUUAAAAAAAGUUAAUACAACUUUCAACAACGGAUCUCUUGGCUCUCGCAUCGAUGAAGAACGCAGCGAAAUGCGAUAAGUAAUGUGAAUUGCAGAAUUCAGUGAAUCAUCGAAUCUUUGAACGCAUCUUGCGCUCCUUGGUAUUCCGAGGAGCAUGCCUGUUUGAGUGUCAUUAAAUUCUCUCAAAACGUGCACUUGAGUGAUUGUGUGUUUUGGAUUGUUGGGAGUCUGCUGGUUUUGGGCCAGCUCUCCUUAAAAACAUUAGCUUUGGGAGGGAUGUGCUGAGUCACUUCUGCCAUUCCAUUGGUGUGAUAGAUUAACGUUUAUAUCUACACCAGGUUUGCAGGUGUCACGCAUUUUUAAUCUCUCUGCUCUCUAAUUGGAGACCCCUUUGUCUCUUCUGAAAACUUGACCUCAAAUCAGGUAGGACUACCCGCUGAACUUAAG